rnacentral:rRNA from 1 species
AGCGAACGUUAGCGGCGGGCCUAACACAUGCAAGUCGAGCGAGAAAGUGGCUUCGGCCAUCAGUAAAGCGGCGGACGGGUGAGUAACACGUAGGUAAUCUUCCCUUGAGCGGGGGACAACGAGCCGAAAGGCCCGCUAAUACCGCAUACGUUUCUCGGGACUCUGGUCCUGGGAAGGAAAGCUAGGCAGCAAUGUCCGGCACUCGGGGAGGGACCGGCGUCGCAUCAGCUAGGUGGUGGGGUAACGGCCUACCAAGGCGAAGACGCGUAGCUGGUCUGAGAGGAUGAUCAGCCACACUGGGACUGAGACACGGCCCAGACUCCUACGGGAGGCAGCAGUGGGGAAUAUUGGACAAUGGGCGCAAGCCUGAUCCAGCCACGCCGCGUGAGUGAUGAAGGCCUUCGGGUCGUAAAGCUCUGUGGGGAGGGACGAACCGCCGGAUGUGCAUAGCAUCCGGCAUGACGGUACCUCCUUAGCAAGCACCGGCUAACUUCGUGCCAGCAGCCGCGGUAAGAC